GACGAACGCUGGCGGCGUGCUUAACACAUGCAAGUCGAACGGAAAGGCCCUGCUUGCAGGCUACUCGAUUGGCGAACGGGUGGAUAACGCGUUGGUGAUCUGCCCUGCACUUCGGGAUAAGCUUGGGAAACUGAGUCUAAUACCGGGUAGGAGCCAUCUCUCGUGUGGUGGUUGGAAAGUUUUUUCGGUGUAGGAUGAGCUCGCGGCCUAGCAGCUUGUUGGUGGGGUAAUGGCCUACCAAGGCGGCGACGGGUAGCCGGCCUGAGAGGGUGGACGGCCACAUUGGAAACGGGGUACGGCCCAGAGUCCUGCGGGCGGCAGGAGGGGGGAAUAUUGAACAAUGCGCGAAAGCCUGAUGCCGGGAGGACGCGUGGCGGAUGAAGGCCUUCGGGUUGUAGACUCCUUUCGCUAGGGACGAAGCUUGGUUGUGACGGUACCUAGAUAAGAAGCCCCGGCUAACUACGUG
rnacentral:rRNA from 1 species